rnacentral:rRNA from 1 species
GUGGGGAAUUUUGGACAAUGGGCGCAAGCCUGAUCCAGCCAUGCCGCGUGAGUGAAGAAGGCCUUCGGGUUGUGAACCUCUUUCGCUCAUGGUCAAGCCGCAGUUUUGUCUGUGGUGAGGGUAGUGGGUAAAGAAGCGCCGGCUAACUACGUGCCAGCAGCCGCGGUAAUACGUAGGGCGCGAGCGUUGUCCGGAAUUAUUGGGCGUAAAGGGCUUGUAGGCGGCUUGUCGCGUCUGCCGUGAAAUCCUCUGGCUUAACUGGGGGCGUGCGGUGGGUACGGGCUGGCUUGAGUGCGGUAGGGGAGACUGGAAUUCCUGGUGUAGCGGUGGAAUGCGCAGAUAUCAGGAGGAACACCGGUGGCGAAGGCGGGUCUCUGGGCCGUUACUGACGCUGAGGAGCGAAAGCAUGGGGAGCGAACAGGAUUAGAAACCCGGGUAGUCC